rnacentral:lncRNA from 1 species
CUUAAAACAUCAACUUUAAACCCUAAAUCAUCAACUCUAAACCCUAAAUCAUGAAACAUCAACUCUAAACCCUAAACCCUAAACCUUCAAAUCAAAACCCUAAAACAUUAACUUUAAACCCUAAAUGUAAACCCUAAACCCUAAACCUUAUAUUUUUCUGAAAUUCGAACUCUAAACCCUAAACCUUCAAAUCUAAACCCUAAAACAUCAACUCUAAACCCUAAACAUAAACCUUAAACCCUAAACCUUCAAAUCUAAACCCUAAAACAUCAACUCUAAACCCUAAACAUAAACCCUAAACCCUAAAUCUUCAAAUCUAAACCCUAAAACAUCAACUCUAAACCCUAAAC